GAGCUGGCUAUGUGUGACAUCUAUCAACCCAUUGACUGAGGGUUGAUUCAGCUGAUCUGGUUGGUUAGAUAAGUGUUCCCUCCCU
ensembl:misc_RNA 7SK 7SK RNA